rnacentral:rRNA from 1 species
GGUUAAGCGACUAAGCGUACACGGUGGAUGCCCUGGCAGUCAGAGGCGAUGAAGGRCGUGCUAAUCUGCGAUAAGCGCCGGUAAGGUGAUAUGAACCGUUAUAACCGGCGAUWYCCGAAUGGGGAAACCCAGUGUGAUUCGUCACACUAUCAUUAACUGAAUCCAUAGGUUAAUGAGGCGAACCGGGGGAACUGAAACAUCUAAGUACCCCGAGGAAAAGAAAUCAACCGAGAUUCCCCCAGUAGCGGCGAGCGAACGGGGAGGAGCCCAGAGCCUGAAUCAGCAUGUGUGUUAGUGGAAGCGUCUGGAAAGGCGCGCGAUACAGGGUGACAGCC